rnacentral:lncRNA from 1 species
AGCUGCUUUCCCAAAUGGUUUCCUUAUUGCUUUUCCAGCUAAACAUGGUUCACAUGUGUCAAGAUCAACUCGGGUUAGUAGACCAAGAAGGCCUUCUCUAGCCAACAUAUUCAUUCUUUCAACACCAAUGUGACCAAAUCUGGAAUGCCACACAUUUAUUUCAUUAUUACUAGAGGUUGUGGUAUAUGAUAAAUAAUGAUUAUUAUUAUUAUUAUUAUUAUUAUUAUUAUUAUUAUUAUUAUUAUUAUUAAUAUUUGUAGUACAAUGAAACCAUCAUAUGUAUAACCAGAACCAAAGAACACAGACUCUAGAGAAAUGUAUAAACACAUAUCAUGAAAUUUCAAACUAAAUCCUAACUUAAGUAAAGCUAAAACAGAGACCAAGUUCCGACGAGUUCAGGAGCAUAUAAUACAUCAUGUAAUAUGAGAGUCUUCCCACCAAGCAUAUGUAGUUGGCAAGUGCUGAUACCUAGUACCGGAACCUUGGAAUUGUUUCCCACAUACAACCAUCUUGUAUCUUUAGGUAUACGUCGGUACUCCACGAAUGCUUCUCGACUUCUAGCUACAUGGUCUGUUGCUCCUGAGUCUACAAUCCACAAAGGAUGAGAUUCGGUAAGCAUGGUACAACUAGAAACAUAAUCAUAUUGAGAAGUGGAGAUUAAGGAUAUUACCUUCUUUGCCUCAGUGCAUUCACAAGUAAGUGACCCAAUGAGCUACAGUUGUAUCAUUUUAAAUUUGUCUUAUCCUUCUUGCCUCUACGCUUUCCAUGUUUGGCAUAUUUCUUUUACCUCUUAGGAUCAGCUUGAUUUGGAGCCUUAUUUCCCUUGUUACCUCUCUUGCGUUUCAAAUCCCAGUUUGAUUUUGCAAAGUUGGCUUCGUUAAAAGGUCUAGCAGCCUUUAGGCGCUCAUCUUCUAACUCAAAAUGACGUGAAAUAUCUUCAAAUGUCUUAACAUUGGCAUUAUGCGUCAUCUGAACUUUCAUAUGGUCCCAACUUUCAGGUAACGAGCGGAGAAUCGCUUGGAUUUUCUGUUCAUUAGAUAUAACCUGACCAGCAUUUUUGAGCUCUCUAAUCAUGUUUGACAUGACUCUAAGAUGCUGCCUCAUCGAAUGAUUUGGGAGUUUCUUAUAGUCAUUAAAAUUUUGGUUAAGUCUCCUAAGUUUAGUUGCCGCUGUGGCACAAAACUUCUCUUUUAAGGCCUCCCACACGCCUUUUGCAGUAUUGUACUCUUCAAACUCACACAUGAGAUCAUCAUUCAUAAAACUUAUCAUAGUAAUGCGAGCUAUGUUAUUCUUUGUUUUCCAGGCAGUAUAUGCCUCUUUAACUCUCUCAUGUUGACUUGUAGUACCCUGCACAUGAUCUUCCAUGAGAUGGGAAACAGUCUCUUUCACCUCUUGCUCUUCAAGGACAUAGUGAAUUUUCCGAUACCAUAUAUCGUAAUUAUCACCAUCCUGUUUCUCUCCUCGGUUGAGCUCAGCAAUGAUGUUCUUACAAGCAGAAGACAUACCUGCUGGAACAUCUUAGGGACAUUAAUUUUUGAAUACAUCUAUUACAUAAUAUAAUCUUGCAAUAAACAUAAACUAAACCAUAGUAAUUUGAUUUAAUACAAGAUCGAGAGUUCAUUAUGUUCCCAAUCAUCACCCAUAUUAAAAUCUUAUUACAAUAAUUUAAUUUAUUUUAUGCAAAAUUUUAAGUUCUAAACACAUUAGAACUCCCAAUAGAUCAUUGUAUUCUCUAACAUGAAUUAACAAAUAAAACAUGUUUGUUUACAAAGAUCACUUAAAUCAAAUUAAUACUCGAUUAACUUAAUUUCUCACAUUAAAUUUUGAUCAAAAAUAAAUCUAGAUUCUCCAUCAACUUAACAAAACGAAUCUAACAAUUUAACUUUUUAAAUUUUAGACAUAAACUUAUUAUAUGAUCAAAACAUAUUAUCCUAAUAUCUUUUUUAAUAUAUGUCCAAAUUAUGCGUACAUGAUUAUUAAGAAUGUAAAUAUGCCAGAAUCGAAUCCAAAUGCUCUGAUACCAAUGUUAGAAGUUAUAAUGCGGAAGCGGGUUAAACUGAAAAUAUAACUUAGUCUGGUUUGUUGAUGAACACUACUUGAUACAAUCGGACAAGAGUCGGGGAUGAAAUCACAGACGGAAAUCAACUACUUGCCACCGUUCAAGUGCCAUUCUAGUUGAUUUUUAUAGCUUUCUCUUUCUAAAACGUUUCUCUAUCUCUAUUAUUAUUUUGUUAUUACUUCAAUAGUUUUCUUCUCUUUGCAAUGUGUCUUAUUUAUUGACAACCAAAUGAUACAUAUGCGGUUACAUAUUUUUAAGGAAGAGACACAUAUCUUUAAUGAACAGACACAUACAUUCAUGAAGAGUUGCAUAGGUUCAUUUAUAGAGUUUAACCAAUAACUACCGGUUAACUAAACCGGUUUGGUAUGCUACCUAAUCAUGGGCGCAAAUCAACCAUAAACCAAUAGUUGGUGGUGCUUGAAAAAGUUUCUCCGCCCGGACCUUGCCCAACAUGACAUAAUAAGCAAGAUUAAGUGUUGUCUACACGUGAUUCUCUUUCCUCUCUGCAAAUCGAGUGAGUGUUUGAUGCGGAAGACCUCUAUAAAAUCUAUGCUGUUAUGGUGACUUUUAGGUAGUACAAUGGGCUCUCUGUUAGAGGAUGACUUGGAGGCUGCUGGUUAGACUCUUAGUAAUAUAUAUUUUUUUAUAGUUAUUGCUGUAAAUUUAUUUAUUUUAAUUAAACAUAUAAAAAAAAUAUUUAUCUUUUACGUCUUAAAUUUUGUAAGCUUAGAAGACUAUCUGAUAUAUAUAUAUUUUCCAGUAUUGUUAAGAGGAGUUCGUAUUUUUAGUGAAGUUUAUAUUAAAAAAACAUUUAUGAUCUUUUACUUUAUAAGUUUUGUAAGUAUAGAAGAUUAUUUGAUUAAUAUAUAUUUUCAAUAUUGUUAAGAGGACCUUUAUGUGGUUCGAUAUGAAAACUUUUACUUGUCAUAAUUACAUACAUACAUGUGUGAACUCCCCAUUCCAUUCAGCUGAGUUAGGGGAAGAGAGAGUAUGUUAAACUGAUCUAGGCUCUAAGUCAUCACUCAAGGAAACCAUGGAAGCUUCCCCUUCAAUAUCAAAUCGACAUCGAGGAAUUCUUCCACGGUCACUUCUCCACACUUCAGUCUCUUGUAAUUCUUCUCUUGAAGAAUCAUUAACUAAUGUUUCUCUCCCACUAAGUUGAGAUAGUUCACGAGAACUUUCACCAACUUCCACAGAUUGGUUAGUAGAAAAAACAUUAGUUGGAUCAACCAUCUCUUCAAGACGGGAAUCCCUUUUAACCUAUCCCCUUUGAGGAAAAUCACUUUCCGAAAAUGUCACAUCUCGUGAUUCGAUUUCUGUAAUAUUUCCAUCUGAUUGUUCGCCGAUGAGCACAUAACCUUUAGAAUGCUCAGAGUACCUAAUAAAGAUACACUUCUUUCCUCUAGGACCUAAUUUUCUAUGAGGAUGUGAAGUAUCGCGAACAAAUGCUGCAGACCCCCAAGGUCGCAAAUGCAUUAAAUCAGGCUUUCUUCUUGUCCAUAAUUCAUAAGGAGUAGAAGUAACAGAUUUAGAGGGCACACAGUUUAGUAUAUAGGCAGCAAUUAAUAAUGCAUUCCUCCAAUAUGAAACUGGAAGGUUUGCUUGCACCAUCAUAGACCUAACCAUUUCAAGAAGAGUACAAUUUCUUCUUUCCGCUACACCAUUCUGCUGUGGUAGGUAGUCAAUUUCCUGACAAUACCCUUUUCAUCACACAGUUUCUUAAACUGUUCAGAUAGAUAUUUUCCUCCUCAAUCAUUUCUCAAACACUUAAUCGUCAUCUCCAAAUGAUUUUUGACCAAAGAGGUAUAUCGUCUAAAGCACUCUAAUGCUUCUGACUUAUGAAAAAUUAUGUACACAUGUCCAAAUCGAGUGAAAUCAUCUAUAAAUGUGAUGAAAUAUGAGGCCCCAUGCCUUGCCCUCACAUUCAUCAGACCAUAAAUGUCAGAAUGAAUUAAUUGCAAUGGAUGAUCAGCUCUAGCUGCUUUCCCAAAUGGUUUCCUUAUUGCUUUUCCAGCUAAACAUGGUUCACAUGUGUCAAGAUCAACUCGGGUUAGUAGACCAAGAAGGCCUUCUCUAGCCAACAUAUUCAUUCUUUCAACACCAAUGUGACCAAAUCUGGAAUGCCACACAUUUAUUUCAUUAUUACUAGAGGUUGUGGUAUAUGAUAAAUAAUGAUUAUUAUUAUUAUUAUUAUUAUUAUUAUUAUUAUUAUUAUUAUUAUUAUUAAUAUUUGUAGUACAAUGAAACCAUCAUAUGUAUAACCAGAACCAAAGAACACAGACUCUAGAGAAAUGUAUAAACACAUAUCAUGAAAUUUCAAACUAAAUC